GGGGAUGUAGCUCAGUGGUAGAGCGCGCGC
rnacentral:piRNA from 4 species